CAUCACGUGAGGAGUACGUGUGAAUGGUCGUGUAGGGGAAACCCAUCUAACAAUAACGGAUAGCUCUUUCAGUUGUAUUCGUAAUUGAUAAGCAGCUAGUAAGUAUAGACUCUGUGAUGUAGUCCCGCCACUUUCGAUCUGUUCUUCUGGUUUUUCUUGUUUGUUUGGAAUCAAAAGAAAGGAAAGGAAAAGAAAAGAAAAAGAAAAUUUAAAAAAGUUUAAUUACAUCACCUUUAUGACAUCAUCAUGAUGUCAAAAAUAAUUUUGAUUUUCCUACCAUAAUUGACCAAGUCAAUUAAGUGAAAAUACAUAUAAAACUAAUAAAUUAAAAGAAAAAAAAAGUCAUUUUGGCCUUCUUCCCUUCCAUUGCCGCCUCCCUCUCUCCCAAGUUCUCUCUCUUAAAUUUUCCUCCAUGAAAGCUUUUUUUUAAGCUUUCUAAACACUAAUUCCACCAUAAAUCCUUUAAUUUUCUUGAAGAAAAAUUAUAAGCAAGUCUUGAAAGGAAGAUUAGAAGGAGAAGAAUUGAAGAAAAUUGAGAGAAAGUGAAAGAUUUGAAGAUUGAAAAUUCAAAGAAAGGUUAGUAAGCUAAACUUGAAAUUCUAGUUGAAUUAAUUGUGUUUAUAGUUCAAUUAACUUAGAAUUAUGCUUAAAAUGAAAAUAAAUUAAUUGUUGGAGGAUUAAAGCAAAAUUCAUCCAGCUAGGGUUUGAUGUGUGUGCAUGAAUUUGAUGGAGUUAAAGGUGUAUAUGAGCUUGAUAGAGUUAUAGAAGCAUGUAUAUAGGCAUUGAAUUGGUUAAAUGAAACAACUUAGUGAGUUAGGGUUUUGGGACUUAGGGUUUGUGAACCAAA
rnacentral:misc_RNA from 1 species